rnacentral:rRNA from 1 species
ACGGCACAGCCCUGAACACAGGGCACUUCCUCUAAUUUUGGAAGUGAAGCAGGGCCAAGCCUGGUGAGUUCUCGGAUGGGAGACCACCAGGGAAUGUGAGAAAUCCCUGUU